rnacentral:rRNA from 1 species
AUGCAGAGGCGGAGGCCGGGAUUCCACCAUGUGGAAGAGACAGAGAACAAUGUAGUGCGGAGCCUGUUCUGGACAGACUCCUUGUGCAAGAUGAAUUACGAGCUAUAUGGAGAUUUUGUGUCUUUUGACACGACAUUCUCUACGAAUAUAUAUGGCUUACCAUUUGCACCAAUUGUAAGUGUCAACAACCAUGGGUCGACCGUCCUGUUUGGACUAGGCCUUUUGAAGGAUGAGAAGAUAGGGUCAUUCAAGUGGCUCCUAAGCACAUUUGUCGAGGCAAUGGGAGGUAAAGAGCCGAAAUACAUAAUAACGGACCAGGACCAGGCGAUGAAGACUGCAAUAAAGGAAGCUCUUCCGAGAACGAGACACAGGUUCUGCUGGUGGCAUAUUAGGAAGAACCUAAAGGAAAAUAACGCAGUAGUGUUGCGCAGCACCCAGGGAUGUCUGAUGAUUUAUUUCGAAUCGUCAAAAACUCACUGGAUCAAGACAAGUUUGAGCGUGCCUGGAAAGCAGCAAUUUCUGUGCACAAGGCGGAAGGCAACAAACACUUGA